CCCUGCCUAGCUCAAUUCGUAGAGCGUCUGGUACAUGCUCCUGAAGAUGCGAGUUCAACUCUCGCGGUGGGAA